AGUUAAUUGCUGUUUGGUAAACAAAUAGAGGAAACUCCAUGCUUGCACAAGGUGUUAAUCUUGUAGUGUUUGUGUGUGGUGAAAAAAUAAACCACAAGAUGCUUAUGCAUUAUGGAAAUUAAGUUCUAAGGUACGUUGUACUAUGAAUAAGAUUAAAAAGUACCACAGUGACGAAAUGAAUGAAAAUUCUAAAUGAAACGCGGUAAACCCCACAAGCAAGAAACCUAAAUUAUUGGUAAGGGAAUUCUUUUGUAGGAAUUGAACGACAAAAGGAACAAUUUUUCUAAAUUGUAGAUAAAUAAUUAACUUAAAACAGAACAUGGGUUAUAU
rnacentral:RNase_P_RNA from 1 species